rnacentral:rRNA from 1 species
GAUGAACGCUGGCGGCGUGCUUAACACAUGCAAGUCGAACGAAGCAUUUAAACGGAAGCUUUUCGGAGUGGAAGUUUAGAUGACUUAGUGGCGGACGGGUGAGUAACGCGUGGGUAACCUGCCUCAUACAGGGGGAUAACAGUUGGAAACGACUGCUAAGACCGCAUAAGCCUACAGUCUCGCAUGAGACAGUAGGAAAAAUUUAUUGGUAUGAGAUGGACCCGCGUCUGAUUAGCUAGUUGGUGAGGUAACGGCCCACCAAGGCGACGAUCAGUAGCCGACUUGAGAGAGUGAUCGGCCACAUUGGGACUGAGACACGGCCCAAACUCCUACGGGUGGCAG